rnacentral:rRNA from 1 species
UAUCUCUGUAGAGUCUGCAUAUCAAUAAGCGGAGGAAAAGAAACUAACAAGGAUUCCCCUAGUAACGGCGAGUGAAGCGGGAAGAGCUCAAAUUUGAAAUCUUAAAGGGUUUCCCUUUACGAAUUGUAGUUUAAAGAAGUGUUUUCUGUUGGAGUUUCGGUAAAAGUUCUUUGGAAUAGGACAUCAUAGAGGGUGAGAAUCCCGUAUUUGACCGUUACUUUCCAGCUGUGUGAUACACUUUCAAAGAGUCGGAUUGUUGGGAAUGCAGUCCAAGAUGGGUGGUAAAUUUCAUCUAAAGCUAAAUAUUGGCGAGAGACCGAUAGCGAACAAGUACCGUGAGGGAAAGAUGAAAAGAACUUUGAAAAGAGAGUUAAACAGUACGUGAAAUUGUCAAAAGGGAAGCGUUUGACACCAGUGUUGUUUUUCCGAAAAUCAAUUACGAAUGGCUUGAUUUGUGUUGUAUUGACCUUAUCAGCUUUCUUCACUUUUUUCGAGUCUUUCUUAAUGCACUUUUUCGGUUAACAAGUCAACAUCAAUUUCUUUUGUUGUAAAAGAGUAUUCGGAAGGUGGCUUUCUUUUCGGAGAAAGUGUUUAUAGCCCCUAUACUUCUACAAUCGGAGAGAUUGAGGUCUGCAGCGUAGAUCCUUCGGGGUUAGAUACAUUUGUGCUAAGUUGUAGCUUUUCAUAGACAACUUGUUGACUAUGUUUAGUCAUGCGGCUUACUCGCUUAUGCUAUUUUACCUACGCUUAGGAUGUUGACUGAUAUGUAGUCGUA